rnacentral:rRNA from 1 species
CCUCGGGGGGCAGCAGUGGGGAAGUCUGGACAAGGGGCGCAAGCCGGAGCCAGCGAGUCCGAGUGUGGGAGGAAGGCCCUCGGGUUGUAAACCACUUUUGUAGAGAACGAAAAGACACCUUUUAAUAAAGGGUGUUGCUGACGGUACUCUAAGAAUAAGCACCGGCUAACUACGUGCCAGCAGCCGCGGUAAUACGUAGGGUGCGAGCGUUAAUCGGAAUUACUGGGCGUAAAGGGUGCGCAGGCGGUUGAGUAAGACAGAUGUGAAAUCCCCGAGCUUAACUCGGGAAUGGCAUAUGUGACUGCUCGACUAGAGUGUGUCAGAGGGAGGUGGAAUUCCACGUGUAGCAGUGAAAUGCGUAGAUAUGUGGAAGAACACCGAUGGCGAAGGCAGCCUCCUGGGACAUAACUGACGCUCAGGCACGAAAGCGUGGGGAGCAAACAGGAUUAGAUACCCGGGUAGUC